AUUUUAGUAAAGCAGUCUUCAGUUUAAGCAUCCCAGCUUCCUCCUGACUUCCUUCUUGAGUGCCUCAUAGUAUCCCUGUUGACAAACCUGGUGCCCACUGUGGCGUAUAUUCUUUAGAAGGAAAGACAAAUGUCUAACAAAAUGACUGGUUUAGUAAAAUGGUUCAACUCUGAGAAAGGUUUUGGCUUUAUCUCUCCAACUGACGGCAGCAAAGACGUGUUCGUACACUUCUCUGCAAUCCAGAACGAUGGUUACAAAAGCCUGGAUGAAGGUCAGCAGGUUGAAUUCACUAUCGAAAACGGCCAGAAAGGUCCUGCAGCUGCUAACGUUGUUGCGCUGUAAGAUUUCCC
rnacentral:sRNA from 1 species